AUUGAACGCUGGCGGCAGGCCUAACACAUGCAAGUCGAACGGUAGCACAGAGAGCUUGCUCUCGGGUGACGAGUGGCGGACGGGUGAGUAAUGUCUGGGAAACUGCCCGAUGGAGGGGGAUAACUACUGGAAACGGUAGCUAAUACCGCAUAACGUCGCAAGACCAAAGAGGGGGACCUUCGGGCCUCUUGCCAUCGGAUGUGCCCAGAUGGGAUUAGCUUGUAGGUGAGGUAACGGCUCACCUAGGCGACGAUCCCUAGCUGGUCUGAGAGGAUGACCAGCCACACUGGAACUGAGACACGGUCCAGACUCCUACGGGAGGCAGCAGUGGGGAAUAUUGCACAAUGGGCGCAAGCCUGAUGCAGCCAUGCCGCGUGUAUGAAGAAGGCCUUCGGGUUGUAAAGUACUUUCAGCGGGGAGGAAGGGAGUGAGGUUAAUAACCUCAUUCAUUGACGUUACCCGCAGAAGAAGCACCGGCUAACUCCGUGCCAGCAGCCGCGGUAAUACGGAGGGUGCGAGCGUUAAUCGGAAUUACUGGGCGUAAAGCGCACGCAGGCGGUCUGUCAAGUCGGAUGUGAAAUCCCCGGGCUCAACCUGGGAACUGCAUUCGAAACUGGCAGGCUGGAGUCUUGUAGAGGGGGGUAGAAUUCCAGGUGUAGCGGUGAAAUGCGUAGAGAUCUGGAGGAGUACCGGUGGCGAAGGCGGCCCCCUGGACAAAGACUGACGCUCAGGUGCGAAAGCGUGGGGAGCAAACAGGAUUAGAUACCCUGGUAGUCCACGCUGUAAACGAUGUCGACUUGGAGGUUGUUCCCUUGAGGAGUGGCUUCCGGAGCUAACGCGUUAAGUCGACCGCCUGGGGAGUACGGCCGCAAGGUUAAAACUCAAAUGAAUUGACGGGGGCCCGCACAAGCGGUGGAGCAUGUGGUUUAAUUCGAUGCAACGCGAAGAACCUUACCUACUCUUGACAUCCAGAGAACUUAGCAGAGAUGCUUUGGUGCCUUCGGGAACUCUGAGACAGGUGCUGCAUGGCUGUCGUCAGCUCGUGUUGUGAAAUGUUGGGUUAAGUCCCGCAACGAGCGCAACCCUUAUCCUUUGUUGCCAGCGAUUCGGUCGGGAACUCAAAGGAGACUGCCAGUGAUAAACUGGAGGAAGGUGGAGAUGACGUCAAGUCAUCAUGGCCCUUACGAGUAGGGCUACACACGUGCUACAAUGGCAUAUACAAAGAGAAGCGACCUCGCGAGAGCAAGCGGACCUCAUAAAGUAUGUCGUAGUCCGGAUUGGAGUCUGCAACUCGACUCCAUGAAGUCGGAAUCGCUAGUAAUCGUGGAUCAGAAUGCCACGGUGAAUACGUUCCCGGGCCU
rnacentral:rRNA from 1 species